GGGGAAUCUUGCACAAUGGGGGAAACCCUGAUGCAGCGACGCCGCGUGAACGAUGAAGCCCUUCGGGGUGUAAAGUUCUUUCGACGGGGACGAUAAUGACGGUACCCGGAGAAGAAGCUGCGGCUAACUACGUGCCAGCAGCCACGGUAAUACGUAGGCAGCAAGCGUUGUUCGGAAUUACUGGGCGUAAAGAGUGCGUAGGCGGUUAACUAAGUUUGGUGUGAAAUCUCCCGGCUUAACUGGGAGGGUGCGCCGAAAACUGGCUAGCUAGAGUGUGGGAGAGGAUAGUGGAAUUCCUGGUGUAGCGGUGAAAUGCGUAGAUAUCAGGAGGAACACCUGUGGUGUAGACGGCUAUCUGGACCAUGACUGACGCUGAGGCACGAAAGCGUGGGUAGCAAAC
rnacentral:rRNA from 1 species